rnacentral:rRNA from 1 species
UACAGAGGUGGCAAGCGUUGUUCGGAAUUACUGGGCGUAAAGGGCGCGUAGGCGGUCUUUUAAGUCCUGUGUGAAAUCCCUCGGCUCAACUGAGGAACUGCACGGGAUACUGGAAGACUUGAGUUCGGGAGAGGGAAGCGGAAUUCCGGGUGUAGCGGUGAAAUGCGUAGAUAUCCGGAGGAACACCGGUGGCGAAGGCGGCUUCCUGGACCGAUUACUGACGCUGAGGCGCGAAAGCUAGGGGAGCAAACGGG